UCUCGCCUGGAGCCUUGCUUGAUCCUCAGAGUGUGUUCCUUAGACACCAGCACCGACAUCAUCAGGAAGCUUGUUAGAAAUGCAGACUCUUGGGUCUGCUCCAGACCUCCCUGAAUCAGAAUCUGCAAUGAUUUGUCAGCACUUUAAAGUUUGAAAAGCUCUGGCCUAGAGGAUCCUCCAGCAAACAGAACAAUCAUUCCUUCCCAGACUGGAGUGCUGCGUGCAACAGGACCUCAGAACUGCCCACAAGAUUCUACCAUUGCCAACAGGUGAACUGAGAGCUCCAUACUUGUCACUGUCACCAUAAAGGGUAAGAAGAUGACUAGAUCCCUGUUACCUCUUCUUGGCCAGAAGCAGAAAGACGUACCUGGAGUUUAUUUCUGGAACUCUGCUCUGAACAGUUUGAUUGCUUUUAUGAGAAGUACACUCGUCUGGAGUGGAACAUGGCCAAGAGCUCUCAACUAGCAAUAAACUUCUCUUUUCACAAAGUGACCGCUGUUCAAGAUUGUUUCUCUGCUAACGACGUGUGAUCAUUAAGCUGGGUUUUCUGUUGGCAGUUGUAAAUGCCCAUUAGCAUGCGUACAUAGCACUGCAUUUUUGUAAAAUACUAUGAUUUGGGAGCAUGAUACCAGGUGGUGGAGAAGCAAGAGUUUAUGUUCUCCUUUGCUACAUUCUCACCAGCUCUAUGGGUGAGCCUGCAAAGCUCUAGCAGGGCUCUUAGCCUUAUGGUUAAUAUGCUCAGCUGCUAAUGGAGGGGUUGGAGGUACAAGACAACUCAGCAGUGCCUCAGAAGAAAGUCCUGGCGAUCCACUUCUGAAAAAUCAGCCAUUGAAAACCUGAUGGAGCACAGGUCUACUGUGACACACAUGAGGUCACCAUGAGUCAGAAUUGACUCUACAACAACUGACAUUGGUAACCUCAGAUUACCCAUCUUUUCCUAAAGGAAAAAAAGAGAAAGAGAAAUGGAAAAAGUACUAAAACAGGGAUCAUGGUGCUGUACAGGAGUGUUGUGUGGAGAAAUGAGAUCACAAAAAGCAAAGAAGAAACCUCAAUGGGCUACGUGGCCUUUAGUAUCCAGAACUAUUGCAUUCGUUGAAACCGAAUUUCCAGAAUCUUAGAUGCUUUUGAGCAUCAAUAUAUGUCUGAUCUCAUUUUUUAAAUUUAGAGUAAAACAAUUUUAAAGCUGUAAUAAAGUUUGGCACUUUCUAAAAGAGGUUAUGUACCAAUUUUCACAUCCUGGGAAGCAACAGUGCGUUAGCUUAUGCUGUUAGGCUAACUAGUUUGGGGGCAGAGCUAAAUUAAAAAAGGCUUUUCCUGCCAUCACUCAAUUCUGAAAACUGUAACUCUAUUUCAAGUCUUUAAAAAUCUAGCCUCCACAUAGCUGCACCGCUAUGUUUGUACUAGCAAGUACCCUGCAGAACACACACACAUUGAACUCAUUAAAACGGCAGACCAGACUCAGGGGAAUCCUGCAACCCUGGCCCACCGUCUGCUCAUAUUGAUUGCCAGCUAUGUGCUGAAACUCACACAA